AGCUUGAUUGCAAGACAUACAGGUCGAGCAAGGAUGAAAAUCGGACUUAGUGAUCCGGUGGUUCUGCGUGGAAGGGCCAUCGCUCAACGGAUAAAAGCUACCCUGGGGAUAACAGGCUUAUCUCCCCCAAGAGUCCACAUCGACGGGGAGGUUUGGCACCUCGAUGUCGGCUCAUCACAUCCUGGGGCAGUAGUAGGUCCCAAGGGUUGGGCAGUUCGCCCAUUAAAGGGGUACGCGAGCUGGGUUCAGAACGUCGUGAGACAGUUCGGUCCCUAUCCGUCGCAGGCGUAGGAAAGUUGAGAAGACCUGUCCUUAGUACGAGAGGACCGGGAUGGACGUACCUCUGGUGUACCAGUUGUUCUGCCAAGGGCAUGGCUGGGUAGCUGUGUACGGAAUGGAUAAGCGCUGAAAGCAUCUAAGCGCGAAGCCAACUUCAAGAUAAGAUUUCCCACCGCAAGGGUAAGACCCCAGAAAGACUAUCUGGUUGAUAGGUCGAAGGUGUAAGUGCAGCAAUGUAUUUAGCUUAUCGAUACUAAUAGGUCGAGGACUUGACCAAU
rnacentral:rRNA from 1 species